rnacentral:tRNA from 1 species
AAUGAGGUGCCUGAUUUUCGAAAGGAUUAUCUUGAUAGGGUAAAUCAUGUACAUUUGUACCUUCAUUA